GCCAGAUACAUCAGACAUAGAUCGAUGUGCAUUUAUUUCAUGUUAAAUGAAAUGACAUGAAAUUUCGUAGACUUUAAACUGACUUUCUGUGUCAUUGGAAAAAUCUGCAACUGCAGACCAGCUGGUAGGUACUAUGACCAGAACACCACCGCAAUUCAUAAAGCUCCUGGCAGAACAACUUAGGUCUCUUGUAAAAAGUCCAGAAUCAAAUGGAUUCUGAAGAACCUUUUAGAUGUACCUUGGAGCCAAAGUUUGGAUAUUCCUAAAGCAACAUGAUUUAUCCGGUCAAAUGCCUUUGAGAAGUCACAUACACGAUCUUUUAAAACACCUGAGAAUUCCUAUGACUUCCAUUAGAUAAUUUAGGUGCUAUACUAUAGCACUACAACGGUGCCAAUAGAAGGUAGCAGAAUUUUAUAGAUUCCAAUUACCAGAUAAACUGCAAAUGAACUUCAACUCAUUAGUAAUACUGUAAUUUUGCUAGGUUUUAUGUAGUUGAAGAGCCACUCACGUUUGUAGUCCUUCCUAAUUCUUUAAGAUGAUUAGUAUUUAUUUGUGAAGAAAAGGCCUGAGAAUCAGAUGCCAGGCUUGAGGGAGGCAAAUAAUUUCAGAAAUGAGUGAUUUUCUAGAUGUCUGGAUGAAUAUUAGCUUUUAACAUCUUCAGAACUUAAGUUGCAUUAAUUAUCAUACUUACCAUAUCAGUAACUAUGUACUGCACAAACAGCGGACCAGUGAGUCCCACCAUUUGAGAAAUGCUGUUCUCCAUGCCCAACAUUAAGCCCGCAUACCUCGGUGAUAUGUCUACAUGGUUGAUAUAUGACGCAUUAUAUAAAAAUACUGUUAAUCCUACGAUUAUAUUUAGCAGUACUAUCACUAGUUUAGUUUGUGAUUUGUCUAUAAAUGCGAGCCAUAGCAGCAUGGCUGAAGGAACGAGUGAGCCUGAAAUAAACAGAUUUUAUUUUUGUCAGACUUCGUAGCAUCAAAUGGUUACCAAAUAUCUGAAACAAUCGUCUGCAGUUCAUCAAAGAUAACACCUUUUUCUCUACAAUAUAAUCAGUGAUUGGAGCGAACACUAAAGAGAGUGCCAGCUGUGUUAUUUGUGGUAGUGCUGAUAUAACUCCAUUCUAAAAGGUUAUAAAUAUAACUACGUUAUCAUAUGAUAUCAGGUUUUCAAUUUACUUCAUUUAUGUUGAAGCCCAACACCUUUCCGAUAUAAGUAGGAAUUUCCAAGUCGAGCAAAUUGAUCCCCCAAGUGUUUCCAAUGUUGCAAACGGCCAGCGCCCAAAAUGGUAGCGAGGUUAGAAUCUGCUUGAUCGGCAAGUUCGAGUUGUUCUAAAACCAUACAUUUAUACGUAUUAUUAUGCAAAAAUUACCCAGAUAUUUUAAGGGGGGUAAUUUAAAUUCGAAUACCCACCAAGGAAUUUUUGCGAAUUCUCGUUUACGGUAACUCCAUCGUUGAUUUUCACUAGCUCAUCGUUCUAGCCAGUAAAAAUCAGCUGAAAAUGAGUACCUACAACAUACGUCUCUCCCCAGAAAUUAAAUUUAAAACAUCCCCGACUCACCGUCUCCUCGCAGUGCUCCAGGGACUCCAUAAUGUAAACCUUCUCGACCUCUCCUAUUCUGGGAUGUUUGGCCGGACUGUCAAAUCCUAAGAAGUACCAGGCAACACACCAAGCGAUCGCGGUAGCACCGAAAAUGUAAAAUACCAACGGCCAACCGUAGGGUGAGGAGGAAAUGUAGCCGGUUAUCAGCAUGGCAAGCAUUACACCCACGUUACAACCUGCAAUUAAUACAAAAAGUGUAUAUUAAUAUGGUCUUUUAAGAAGAUCAAUCAUUCUUCUUAGAUACCAGUAAAGGAUUAAAUAAUUAUAUACUCGGACUAGACAAGGCUAUCUAAGCACCAAAAAUCAGUUCAAGCUGGUAGAAGAGUGUAGAGAUGCCCUGGAUGAAUUAGGAAGAAGAUAUAAUAAUACAGUUCUCAGUUCUCGGAUCAGCUCUACAACUCACAUGAGCAAUUCUCUCAUGUUGUAGAAGAAUAAGCAUGAAAGGAAACUAAGGUAAACUAAAAUACAUAAAAACAUGAAUGCAGACAAGUCAAAGAUGUAUUAUGAGAUCCAUCUAAACCUUGGUGAUUGUUUUCUCGGCACCGAAGAAUUAUGUCGGAUCUGUUUCCAGAUCUCGAAUCAGACCACAAUUUAUUGUGUAUGACGUUUCAUUUUGCUGUAUCAACAAAGGGAUUAUUUGCUAGGAUGUCCAUUAGAAGAAUUGGGUUAUCUUCAUAAUUAAAUCUGAUCCUACACCUCUUCAAUUUUGUCAAGACACUGGAAUUUAGUUUUGGGUUGGUCUGGAGUUGUUCUGCUGGUUUUUACUGUUUUAGAUAAAAGGAGACUAAAUAAACUUGCAUUAUUAAUUAUUAUUAUUUAAUAAUAAUGUGAACCACAUUAAUGCGCAUGCGUUUCGCUAUGUUUAUUGCUAUGCCUAUCGUCCGUAAGAUAGCGGAGGGUGUCGGUAGGGAAAUACGAUAAAUGACACUUAAAAUGUCAUACAUGUCAAUUAGUGGUUACUGGUGAUACUUUUUAAUGGUUUCGAAAACUGUCUAUUCAUUAUAUAACCUGCACCUAUGUAACUUAUGCAUAAUGCAUGCCAAUACGGAUAGUAAGCCGAUUUAUCCCUUUAUUUAACUAAGAUUUUGAGCUAAAUGAAUGAUCACCUUGAAGAUAAUGCGUCUUUACAUACCACUACGAAAAACAUGGAUGUUUCGGAAUAUUCUGCUUCGACUGAGUUGGAUCCUAGACAAUAUUUGUAGAUUAUACUCUUUGUAAUAACAUAAAAGCUUCUAUUUUAUGGAAGGAGUUCCAAUAUUUGCUUAGA
rnacentral:lncRNA from 1 species